AAUCAACGCUGGCGGCGUGCCUAACACAUGCAAGUCGAACGCGAAAGUCCCCGCGAAGGGAUUAGUAGAGUGGCAAACGGGUGAGUAACACGUGGGUGACCCUGCCUUCGAGCGGGGGAUAACGUCCCGAAAGGGACGCUAAUACCGCAUAACAUCCUGCCUUUUAAGAGGCGGUGAUCAAAGGCCGGGGAUUCGCAAGAACCUGGCACUUGAAGGA
rnacentral:rRNA from 1 species